CAUCAACACCUGCUGCCCUUAGCUCCUUGAGCUGUUUCUCAAGCCCGUCUUUGUUUUCCAGAACAUUGUCAACUGUAACAACUUCCAGCUUCAAAUAAACGCAAAAUAAUCAGGGAGCAUUACGUAAACUGGCACAUAGUUAGCUAGCAUCUUCUCGUUCUCGGAGAGGGGAGUUGGAGCCUGCAUAUUUUGAGCAAAAGAAAGAAAAGGGGGUGUUUUCAAGCUUGCCUUUCAGAAUGGAGAUAGAGGUGCUACUCCUUAGUCCUUACUAUUUCAGUCUUGCCUCCCAUUUAUAAAAGGGGUAGAAACAUUAUCUACUGUGUCCUUAUCUUUACACGUGAAAUAGUGCAUAUUAAUGUGAGCCAAGUGGGGCCUUUUGUUAACAAAAAACCUAGUGCCUGGCUCCUUUAUGCAUGCAUUCUGCCCUUUGGACCACUGCAGAUGAUCAAGAUGCAUUGAUUCACCUGCAGAAGCGGGAAAUAGGUACUGAUAGAUAAGGUUCACAAUGGCCAAUUCGGUCUCCCUGGGCUAAGUGCCCUUAGCUGCCAGCAUAUUUUCUGGGCAACCAGAGAGUGACCAAAUUAAAUUUCUCCAUACAUGCAAGGCCAGUGUACUUAAAUCCCCAUCUCGCCAAGUUGUUCUGUCCACAGCCUAUAUGAUAUUGAUAGUAAAAGGAUCUCCAAGUACCUCUGCUGCUGUGGUGGAAAUCUCAGGUGCCACAGCUUGAAUACUCAUGUCUACACUGCCUGAACUGAAAGACAGACCAUGCCCGAGCCCAACCCGUCUAACCUGCUUUGCUCUUCUUGCAUUUUCAACUUGAUUAACCGACGGCAUUGCCCAGAGAAACUCAGCUUGGUGAACCCUACUGCUACCUCCAAAACAAGGUAUCUUCGAAUUCAUGAUGCUUGCCAUGGUCACCAUGGCAAACAAGAAAAACUGCUAUAUCACAAUAUGUCUGAAUGAAGAUGAUGGCAGAAUUUAUGGUCAGGCAAAAGAGACGAAGGGGAGAAGAAAAAGCAUCCAGAAUAGCCGAACACCUGCUGCAACAACUUUUUUCUUGGAAGAAAAAUCUUAUUUGUUGUUUCUUGUUAUGGUUGGUUGAUUUAUGAAUUUGCUAUGAGUUUCAAUGGAGACCUCUAGUUUGUAUGGAAAAGAAGACAAUGAAGGUGUGCUGAAUGAACAAACAAGUGGUUCAUGUUUC